GAGCUGUGAUGAUGUCUGCGCUUCCGUGGCCCUUAGAUUCAGUCACACUUCAUCUGAUCCUUCAGAUGAUACGUGAGCGCUUCUGAGCUC